ACUUUGGAAGUACAUAGACUAAGAAUAAUAUAGAGAAGAUCAGCAUAGCACUGUUCAAGAAUGACAUGCAAAUUUUUGAAGCCUUCCACAUUUUA
ensembl:snRNA U6 U6 spliceosomal RNA